GUGAGAGAGAAAUUGUCCCAUCCGCGUGCCGCGCCCGCACCCAACGCAACCCAAUCCCCUCGUCCCGCACGCCGUGCACACUCCGGUCCCCUCAUCCCGCACGAACCCUAGGAGAGAGAGAUAGGAAGAUGAGAGGGAGAGGAAGGGGAGAGGAGAGGAGAGGGAGGUCCGGCAGCGGACGGGAGAGGGUGACCGGCCGGCGUUGGCCUGCGCCCCUCCUCGCGCACGAACCCUAGCUGAGAGACAAAAUGAGGGGGAGAGAGAGAAGGAAGGAGAGGAGGGAGAAAGAGAGAGGAAAUAGGAAAGGGAGGUGCGGUGGCUGACAGGAGAGAGGGUCAUCGGCCGACGCCGGAGAGGACGGGCCUGACCUGGACGUGACUUGGAGGUUGGCGGCGGCUCGAUCCACUCCUGGAUCGGGAGCUGCGACGAGUCCGGGGCUCGGGCACGUUGUACGGGGUGGUCUCGCCGGCGAUGACAGGGCUGACCGGCCGGAGUUGGAUCGAGAUCCCAACUGGCACGGCUCAGCUCCAACUCCCUCUUCCACCUCUCCGCUCCCCAACACUCAAAUCUGGCUCUUCUGCACACAUCAGUAGCUAUGGAAAGAAAGCUUGUAGUGGAGUGGGUUCCUUUGUAUGAUCUUGGAAGAUGAUGACCUCUGAAGCCCAUUAGAAAGCAUGGCAAUGGCUUAAGGUUAGCGCAUUUCAAGAAGCCAACAGAUCGCCGCCUACUUCCUUAGGCUGACAAUCACCUGCGGGAUAAAGUGCGAUGUUUUGCCUGAGACAGGAUCAAGGACUGGGCCUACGUGGUCGUCGCGCACGAACCGGUGUAGCCCAUUGGCACUGGUAAAGUUGUAUCGGUGGCUCAGGCACAUGAAGACCAGGUUGCUCAUCAGUUGGAUGUGGAGUUGCUUCUGAGCUAGGACUCUCCCAUUAUCACUACAUAGAAAAAGAUACAUCCAUUUUGGUUUCUAAUGUCUGUUUUUGCCUAAGAAAAAAAGGUAACAAGUUUAUAUUGUUGUAUGGUUCUCAGUUUGUCUUUUCAAACUAUUAGAUUGUCCGGAACAUCUAGGAAUGACCUUUUUGUGUCCCCAAUAUUAUCCUAUUUUGUGAAUAAUCUUAUAUUGUUGAUGCUGCAUACAAUCAAAGUAUGUUCUUAUAAUCAUACUUAUGGCUAGCCAAAUUUUAUGGGUCCAACCUUAUACUCAUUAGAUACAACCUUUGUAUCUGCUUUUGCCAGUUGUCGCUUGCCAGGUGUGACCUAGUGGGUGGUGGCGGCUCGAUCCACUCUUGGAUCCUUCUUACACUUCCCUGCCGGCUAGGUCAGCUAUGACCUGGUGGGUGGUGGCGGCUCGAUCCACUCUUGGAUCCUUCUUACACUUCCCUGACGUCUAGGUCAGCUACGACCUGGUGGUUGGUGGCGGCUUGAUCCACUCCUGGAUCCUUCUCCCACUUGCCUGUUGCCUAACACCGAGCACCCGGAUAGGAGCAUGGGAUCGACGGUGGCCGGAAACAUGAUUUAAAAUGGGACUUUAUACCACCAAAUAAGAAUGUGUGUACAUAUAUCUCAUUGUACACAACAACACACCAUUUUUUGGGUAAUACUCUACCCAGGCUUAAUUCGUCCUAGCAAAAGAAAUCACAUCAUGAGCAAAAGAACGAAUUCGCUACUAACGUUUCAAAUCAAGAUUUAUCCAUCUAACAGUCCCAAAAUAUAUUUCUGUUCUCAUUAUUGCAAUAGCCUUUUCUGUACCAACAAUGUGACACUACACUACAAUAUAUUUUCACAGGCCAUGGAAAAAUAAAGAAUUUGACAAUAGAUAGCCUCCAGUCCAAAAUUAUAAUUUUGCGUGCACUUUGGAUCUAUUGGAUGCCUGAAAAUAUCGUUCCUCAUGUAAUCUAACCGUUACACCUCUUGAGUCCAAUUAGGAACUCUUUCAUUAUUGGUUAUAAAGUGUUUGCUUUGGUCAGUUAAUACUCCCUCUGUUCAUAAAUACAAGACAUUUUAGAGACAAGCUGCAUAUUUAAUGAAGCAUCCACUUGCUGUAGAAAGCAUGUUUUAUGGUCUAUACCAGGUAAGGUGUUCAGUAACCUAUUUAACAAUGCUUUCCAGCUUCUUUCCAUGUUCUAACAUACUUCAUGUGUUGUGUAAUAAUCUACUGAUGGCCAGUUACAACUCCAUUUCACUAUGGACACUGCAUAUGAUGUUCUUUAUUUUGUACAUUUUAGUUGCUGCCUCAAGCCUUGGCUCUUUUUCUAGACUAGGCCUCAAUUUAUGGGAAAAUGCAGUCUUCAUUUACUGAGUUAUAUUUUUGUCUUGGUUUCUUCCAGGUCCCUCGUACAGUGGUUCAGAAAAAAAACCCUAUCCAAUGGAGAUGAUGCAUGAGGAGCGGCAAAGUCAUGAUCCAUAAAGCCCUAUGUUAUUCUUUUUCUCACUGUGAUUUUACUUUUUAUGGUUGGAUGCCAAGUAGCCAAGCAGGCGCUUUUUCGUAGAUUAGUUGCUUAGUUUCAUAAGUUGAACUGCGUUGUCGAGUUCAGUGUGUAGGCUCUUUCUUGAUUGCUCAGCAGGCGAUCAAUGCGGCACAUGUGGAGGCUGUGAGAGCUGUGAAUGGCACCGGUCUUGUCAUACUUAUGAGCAGGAGCACGUGCCACAUUACUCUUCAUGCCACUCUGAGUAGCCAAGAUGUUGACUGCUGGUUGAGAUUGAUUUCCACGUUGAAUGGAAGGGAGACCUAUUUGAGUUCCUGUAUGAAAGGGUAAAGAAGAAGGGGCAUGUUGUUGUGGUUGUUGCUGAAGGCGUUGGUCAGGAGUUGAUUACCUGGACUGAUGACCAGAACCGAGAGCGGGAUGAGUAUGUCAACAUGUUGGUCUUUGACAUUGGCCUUAAGUUUACAUGCAACUCUCCUCCAUGGUUACUCAUUUCUGUUACCGUUGUUGUAUCAAAACAAUUGUAUUUUUGUUGAUGGCCGCUUGGGCUCAUUUUCGAGGAGAAUGAGAUGUGGGAUAAACUACUCUGAAA